UCAUUGAAGACGUGUUUGCGUUUUCUAAGGAAGGCGGGAGAAGGAAGGCGAUGUUAGCAGAACUAAUUCCACCAAUCUGCGACGCUUCCAAGGGCAACGGGGACAGUAGAAUCUGAAAACUGAACUUGGAUUGCUUGACCAUUGGAUAAUAUAGAUGCAGGUUGAUUGGAAUGUUGGCUCAAACCGAAGUCUGCAACCGAUUCAUCGAAAAUGUUUGACUGCUGUUUCUGUUAUCGGGAAAUGCUUUGUAAUUUACAGCCAUGACUUUAUUUCACAAAAAUAUAAAUAGUAUAGGGUGGGGGGAGAUGGAACACCUUUUUAUUCGAUUUUAUCGUCUUUGGCAGUCAACAAUGAAAAAUUAAAGAAUUACAAAAUCGUACAUACCGUUGUUAAUUUGUCUAAAACACGAUCAGGAUAUUUAAAUAAACUGUACCAAACCUGUCCCAUCUUCAUCCACCCUACUAUACAAACAUAUAGUAACUGUGAGGUAAGAUUGUGUUUUUAACAAUGAAUAACGCUCUUUUAGGGCCACGGGGCUACGGUAACAUAAUUCACUAAAUAUUCUUAUGGGUCGAGAAAAGAGAAUAAAAACGUGUCCUAUCUUACCCCACACUACUAUAAUAAUAUUUUACAACUACAACGUGGUUCUACCGUAUAUGCACAUAAACGUACAUAAAG